CCCCCCGUAGCUCAGCGGAUAGAGCAGCAGCCUUCUAAUCUGUCGGUCGCAGGUUCGAUUCCUGCCGGGGGGA
rnacentral:tRNA from 1 species